GAUAAACGUUGGCGGCGUGCCUAAUGCAUGCAAGUCGCACGAGGGCCUCGGCCCUAGUGGCGGACGGGUGAGUAACACGUACGAAUCUGCCCGGAGGUGGGGGACAACUUCCCGAAAGGGAAGCUAAUACCGCAUACGGUCUACGGACCAAAGCCGAAAGGCGCCACCGGAGGAGCGUGCGGCGGCUUAGCUAGUUGGUGGGGUAACGACCUACCAAGGCGACGAUCCGUAGCUGGUCUGAGAGGAUGGUCAGCCACACUGGGACUGAGAUACGGCCCAGACUCCUACGGGAGGCAGCAGCAAGGAAUUUUGCACAAUCGACGCAAGUCGGAUGCAGCAACGCCGCGUGGGGGAUGAAGGCUCUCGGGUUGUAAACCCCUUUUGCGAGGGAAGAAGAUCUGACGGUACCUCGCGAAUAAGUCACGGCUAACUACGUGCCAGCCGCCGCGGUAA
rnacentral:rRNA from 1 species